UACGUAGGUGGCAAGCGUUGUCCGGAUUUACUGGGCGUAAAGAGCGCGCAGGCGGUCGUUCAAGUCGCGUGUGAAAGCCCCCGGCUCAACUGGGGAGGGUCACGCGAUACUGAUCGACUCGAAGGCAGGAGAGGGAAGUGGAAUUCCCGGUGUAGUGGUGAAAUGCGUAGAUAUCGGGAGGAACACCAGUGGCGAAGGCGACUUCCUGGACAGUUCCUGACACUGAGGCACGAAGGCCAGGGGAGCAAACGGG
rnacentral:rRNA from 1 species